GGAAUCUUCGGCAAUGGACGGAAAGUCUGACCGAGCAACGCCGCGUGAGUGAAGAAGGUUUUCGAAUCGUAAAACUCUGUUGGUAGAGAAGAACGUUGGUGAGAGUGGAAAGCUCAUCAAGUGACGGUAACUACCCAGAAAGGGACGGCUAACUACGUGCCAC
rnacentral:rRNA from 1 species